rnacentral:tRNA from 1 species
AAACCUGUGGUGUAAGGGUAGCAUCUGGGACUUUGACUCUCAGGGUGCAGGUUCAAAUCCUGCCGGGUUUA